GAUGAACGCUGGCGGCGUGCCUAAUACAUGCAAGUCGAGCGCACAAACGAGGAGCUUGCCCCUCUGCCGUUAACUGCGGACGGGAGAGUAACACGUGGAUAACCUACAUAUAAGACUGGGCUAACUUCGGGAAACCGGCUCUAAUAACCUGUAACAUGUUGAACCGCAUGGUUCAACAGACAAAGACGCUCUUUCUGUCACUUAUUGAUGGAUCCGCGCCGCAUUAGCUAGUUGGUAAGGUAACGGCUUACCAAGGCAACGAUGCGUAGCCGACCUGAGAGGGUGAGCGGCCACACUGGAACUGAGACACGGUCCAGACUCCUACGGGAGGCAGCAGUAAGGAAUCUUCCGCAAUGGGCGAAAGCCUGACGGAGCAACGCCGCGUGAGUGAAGAAGGUCUUCGGAUCGUAAAACUCUGUUAUUAGGGAAGAACAAAUGUGUAAGUAACUAUGCACGUCGUGACGGUACCUAAUCAGAAAGCCACGGCUAACUACGUG
rnacentral:rRNA from 1 species